UAUUCUUGGGAGUACACUGCAGUGAUAUCUAAGGUACAUUGCUGUGUUAGUAGGGUUGCAGUAUUAUUGAACUAAAGUCUAUAAGUACUAAACAUUUUUGAAUUAAAGUCUACAUUGCUUUCAACCCCCUUUUUUUAGUUAUUCUCGGUUGAGGUUUGCCCCCAGAGCUGGAACGCACUUGCCAGGUUGGCAAAGACAUGCUGACCGUCAACUUUGAGGAAGACGGCCAAGGAUUCAAUCUGUUGAUCACAUAACGCAACCCGAAUAAGAAAAUCAAUAUUUUUAAAAUUCAUUUUUUGAAUUUGUACGACGUUUUGACGAAACGAUUUCGGACUCAAUUGUGUGUGUUUUCCAGACACGAUUCUCGACUGUGAUGGAAGCUCCGUACCGGAAUGGAUUCACAUCGUGCAGGUGAACGUUGGCUUGCAGACUUACGGUAUCACCCUAUCCUUCCGCUAUGACUAUGGCGCCCGGCGACUACGACUGCGAGAUUACUACACGACAAUCGAUUUCUAUAACGCUGGUCUCAAUCGAAUAUUUUUUAUGUUAUAAAUUCUCUUAAAUUUUACUGUCAAUUUUUUGUAUUUCCUGUUGUCAUGUAAUACAAAUGUUUUAUUUUAA